UUAAAAAUAAGCUAAGGAAGCUUUUGGGUUCAUACCCCAAAUAUAAAGUAAAUAACUUUUUUUUAAA
rnacentral:tRNA from 1 species